GGGUAGGUUGAGUAAUUGGCUACUCCGAGCACUGUAAAUGCUCCGCCUUCGGGCAUUGUAGGUUCGAAUCCUACCCUACCCUACA
rnacentral:tRNA from 1 species